GCCGAAGUGGUGAAACUGGUAGACGCGCACGGUUCAGGGCCGUGUGGGCAUUUGCCCGUGGGGGUUCGACUCCCCCCUUCGGCA
rnacentral:tRNA from 1 species